AACCCUGACGCAGCAACGCCGCGUGGGUGAUGAAGGUCUUCGGAUUGUAAAGCCCUGUUUUCUGGGACGAUAAUGACGGUACUAGAGGAGGAAGCCACGGCUAACUACGUGCCAGCAGCCGCGGUAAUACGUAGGUGGCGAGCGUUGUCCGGAUUUACUGGGCGUAAAGGGUGCGUAGGCGGAUGUUUAAGUGGGAUGUGAAAUCCCCGGGCUUAACCUGGGGGCUGCAUUCCAAACUGGAUAUCUAGAGUGCAGGAGAGGAAAGCGGAAUUCCUAGUGUAGCGGUGAAAUGCGUAGAGAUUAGGAAGAACACCAGUGGCGAAGGCGGCUUUCUGGACUGUAACUGACGCUGAGGCACGAAAGCGUGGGUAGCAAACAGGAUUAGAUACCCUGGUAGUCCACGCCGUAAACGAUGGAUACUAGGUGUAGGGGGUAUCAACUCCCCCUGUGCCGCAGUUAACACAAUAAGUAUCCCGCCUGGGGAGUACGGUCGCAAGAUUAAAACUCAAAGGAAUUGACGGGGGCCCGCACAAGCAGCGGAGCAUGUGGUUUAAUUCGAAGCAACGCGAAGAACCUUACCUGGACUUGACAUCCCUUGCAUAGCCUAGAGAUAGGUGAAGCCCUUCGGGGCAAGGAGACAGGUGGUGCAUGGUUGUC
rnacentral:rRNA from 1 species